rnacentral:rRNA from 1 species
GACGAACGCUGGCGGCGUGCUUAACACAUGCAAGUCGAACGGUAAGGCCCUUUCGGGGGUCCACGAGUGGCGAACGGGUGAGUAACACGUGGGUGAUCUGCCCUGCACUUUGGGAUAAGCCUGGGAAACUGGGUCUAAUACCGGAUAGGACUACGCGAUGCAUGUCGUGUGGUGGAAAGCUUUUGCGGUGUGGGAUGGGCCCGCGGCCUAUCAGCUUGUUGGUGGGGUGAUGGCCUACCAAGGCGACGACGGGUAGCCGGCCUGAGAGGGUGUCCGGCCACACUGGGACCGAGAUACGGCCCAGACUCCUACGGGAGGCAGCAGUGGGGAAUAUUGCACAAUGGGCGCAAGCCUGAUGCAGCGACGCCGCGUGGGGGAUGACGGCCUUCGGGUUGUAAACCCCUUUCAGCACAGACGAAGCGUAAGUGACGGUAUGUGCAGAAGAAGCACCGGCCAACUACGUG